GAUGAACGCUGGCGGCGUGCCUAAUACAUGCAAGUCGAGCGAACGGACGAGAAGCUUGCUUCUCUGACGUUAGCGGCGGACGGGUGAGUAACACGUGGAUAACCUACCUAUAAGACUGGGAUAACUUCGGGAAACCGUAGCUAAUACCGGAUAAUAUUUUGAACCGCAUGGUUCAAUAGUGAAAGACGGUCUUGCUGUCACUUAUAGAUGGAUCCGCGCUGCAUUAGCUAGUUGGUAAGGUAACGGCUUACCAAGGCAACGAUGCGUAGCCGACCUGAGAGGGUGAUCGGCCACACUGGAACUGGGACACGGUCCAGACUCCUACGGGAGGCAGCAGUAGGGAAUCUUCCGCAAUGGGCGAAAGCCUGACGGAGCAACGCCGCGUGAGUGAUGAAGGUCUUCGGAUCGUAAAACUCUGUUAUUAGGGAAGAACAGAUGUGUAAGUAACUGUGCACAUCUUGACGGUACCUAAUCAGAAAGCCACGGCUAACUACGUG
rnacentral:rRNA from 1 species